rnacentral:lncRNA from 1 species
UCGCAGAGAUCAGACAUAAGUGUUGGGAUUGUCACAGCAGUGAUGACCAUCCUUGUGACCAUCUGGGGGAUGUUCAACAGGGAUUUGCAAGAGGUGGAGGCGUUGAUCUUGAAGCGCGCAGGCAAAUUCACCAGGGUUGUGGAAGCAACAAUAGGACUUCCACUGUUUAAGACGGGAAUUCGGGGUUUUCUGCUCUUGGGUGUGAUCGUGUGGAACAUGUUUAACGUGUUUGUCAGCUUGAAUGCUGUGGGAAGUGAACCCCGGCUUGCCACCUCAAAAACGCUACUCCAACAGCUCGACGGGAUCUCGUUCUUGGUAACUACAACUUCAACAGUUCAAGUCACUCCAUCUUGGCUUAUCUUCUUUGCAGCGUGCUCGUUUGCAAUCUUUGUGUUUGCCACAGUAACUUGCGGUGUGUAUGUUCGCAUGCGCUACGUGGAAAGAAAAGAAGAGCAAGCUUAAAUCAUGCAUGUUUAUAUAAUUAAAAUGUAUUCUUUGAUGAGUGGUACAAAAUUUGGAUAUAGAUAGAGCUCAAUAAAAAGAGAAACUGAUUAAAACGAAAGUAACUAAAAAGUGGCAACCCACUCAAUCUCAUGCUAUGUAGAGUAUCUCUCAUGUGUUACAUGCUUUUGGUAUCUGGAAUGUGUAUAGCUUUUGCUUUUCUAAGGCAUACAGCUAAGCAGUCUUUAUCUAUUGUAUUUGAAAGCAACGAUUCCAAGGCAUAAUGUGUGUGGUUUCCGAAUUAUAUCCAGGGAUGAUUGCGUCUUUCAACGCAGCAAUAGCACAUUACUUCAGUAUCGUGAGCUAUGAUCAAUUUUGUUUAUCCAAGAGGGCAAAAGAGAAUAAGUCUUUUAUAAAACUAGUAGUGUAGAAUGCCGUUCUAAUGAGUGCUCUCAAGAGAGCAGCCAACCACGCCAUUGAAGACUUCGCAACCGUGAUUCGCCACUGUGCCAAAUCCAAGGACUUGGCAAAGGGUCGCUGGAUACACAGCCAGAUCAUUUCAGAUCAAAAGGAAUACAGAGAGAACGUCUUCCUGGCCAAUUUGCUCGUGGCAAAUGCGGUAGCCCAAAUGAUGCCAAGCGAGUGUUUGACACCAUCGACGCCAAGAACGUUUUCUCGUGGGCUGUUAUGAUGACUGCAUAUACCCAAAACGGGUAUCUGCAAGAUGCUAAGGUUAUAUUUGACGAGAUGCCCGAUCGGGAUACUGUUGCAUGGAAUACAAUUCUUGGAGCGUACGCACAACACGGGCAUGUAGACGAGGCAAAGAUUCUUUUUGAUUCGAUUCCAAAUCCCAACUUUGUGUCGCGGACAACAAUGCUCACAGCAUAUGCUCAAAGCGGGAAUAUGUCUAGCGCGAAGCAUAUGUUUGAUUCUAUGUCACCUCGCAAUGCAAUUGCAUGGACAUCAAUGCUUGCUGGAUAUGCAAGACUCGGAGGUAUCUUAGCCUCUCGAGGAUUCUUUCGAAAGAUGCCCCAGCAUGACACUAUAUCAGCGACUGCAAUGAUUUCGGCAUUUGCCGCGAGGGGCAAUGCAAGAGAGGCGUGUGCCUUGUUCGAGAAUAUGCCGGAGAGGAACGUCUUCUCAUGGACGGCAUUGCUCCAGGGAUAUGCCGAGAAUCGUCUUCUAGACAAGGCAAAGAGCUACUUUGACAAGAUGCCAGCAUGGAAUCUUGUGUCGUGGACUGUGCUCGUCGUUUCAUAUGCUCAAUGCGAGCGGCUUGAGAUUGCACAAGACUUGUUUGUUGAGAUGCCCGAGCGGAGCAUAGUGACUUGGAAUGCCUUGUUGGCAGCGAUUGGGCAUGCCAAGUCUUUGGAGGAGGUGAAGCUUUUCCUUGUCACUAUGCCCGCAUGGAACUUGGUGACCAAAAACACAAUCUCUCAGAUCAAGGAAGUCAAACAAAGUGAAACCACUAGUUGACUUGGCUAAUGCUUCUGUCAAGCUUGCUGGAAGAGGAGGCGUCAUCGUUGGUGGAUCGAACCACAGCUAUGCAACGCAGGAUGCACAAGACUCUAUUGCAGAAGGGAAAGACCAUGGAAAUGAAGAGCGAGAACAACUACAACUUCGAUGUUAUACCAGGAUCUCUUCCCGCGGUCUAAGAACAUUGACUUGUUUCUGGAGAACGAGCAACAGCUGCUUUGGUGGUGUUAUUGCAAUGAUAAACUGCUAGAGACUUCUUGUACGCUGUGCACAGGCUGAGGCCGAACUAUUUGCUGCUUCCUGCGAACGCUCCCAAGUGUGCUCAUAACAACAACCAUCACGAGGUAGUAUGACAAGCAACGCUCUUGCUUUUACGUUCUAUAUUCUGUGUUUGCAGGUGAACUAUUUCCCUUCCCAUUUUGAUCCUUGCCGUCACGCUGAGCGAGUGCCUAUUCCUUCUCACCCUCUCGGUGGUCGACGAGAAGAGGUUUGGUUAGUCUACCUUUCAGCUUCUCAUUUUACGCUUUGGCAUUCUCUUGUAGGCGAUGAUUGAAAAGGAAAAUAACUUUGCUCAGCCAGGAGCAACGUUCCGCUCCGGGCCUGGUGACAGGCAAGAUCUCAAACCUCUCUCUCAGCUAAUCAUGUUUUAACUGAAUCUCUGCUCCUCUUCCAGGCAAGAGCGUUUCAUUGCGAGAGUUGUGGAUGCUCUGUCCGACCCGCGCGUCACCCACGAAAUCCGUAGCAUCUGGCUCUCUUACUGGUCUCAGGUUAGACAAUAAAGAAAAUACAACAUGUGAUCAAACUCAACCAUGAAAGUGUGCAGGCGGAUCGUAUGCUUGGUCAGAAGAUUGCAACGAAAUUCAACGUGAAAGCCAACAUGUAAACGGAUAAAACUAUAUCUGUGUCCAUCGUGGUGAUCGUGGUGAAAGAAAGAGGUACUAGUUUUAAUUAUUACUCUUGUUCUAACAAUCCAAAUCUGCAUUAUUAUUGAGGUAUGUUUCUUGCAUUGUAUUGCUUGAGUUUUAUUUGUUACCCGAGAGAUCAGGCACCUGAGACUGUGGAAUGCUCUUGUCACCACCUGUGUCUUUCUUGUUGCUCGUUGCUCCCUUGGUGUCAUACCCAGGCCAAACCCCUGGACAGUUUGUUUGCUUUCUUUUUUUCAACAAGGUUCUCGUCUUGAGUCUGGAAGAGUGGUCGUCUAGCAAGAGUAGCAUUUGGUGUCAUGACAGGCUAGCCAACGUUAUCUAAAGCUCACAAACCUCAUCAAGAGCCUCUUCCAGCCUCUGUAGCCCGCCCGGAGUAAGUUCCUCACAGUCGCACGCCGCAGUGACUAUGGGCGUGUGGACACGAGGAACACUGUCCAGUUCGUUCUGAGAAGCGUCCUCACUGGAGCGAUCGCCGGGCCGACGCCUCUGGCGGCCCACAAGUUAAAGUCAGUGUCGCGGUAGCUCCCAGCUCUGCAAAGUUUUAACUUUCAACAGGGAAGGAAGAGAUAGAUCCAGACGUUACCCGAACUGCUUUGUAGCAAAGUAAGGCGUGGUUGAGAGGAGAGUACCAUGGACAUCAAACAGCCACGCAUCAAUGCCGGCCUGGCGCAGAAAGUCUGGGCUUGCUGGAGUGCCAAGCUCGUUGCAGCUUGGACGUCGGUACUGUGGCCCGGUGGUGUAGCUCCGGACGUAGGGAACACACUCGGCAGGGACUCUCCAGCUCAAGAGGUUUCCAGACGCAACGCUAAACUGGAGGCUGUGACAGUAGGAAUCCACGGACUGGGACCUUGGAUCUCUCGGCGGGAGGGAAAUGUGCUCGGGAUGGAACGCUAGAAUUUAUAUUUUUUAGCUAGCUUUAAAUAAAUAUGGUGAGAAAUACCUCAUAGGGAGGCAACAGAGGGAGCACAUUCGUGCACGUCCGCGACGACGACCAGAAUUGAUCCAUUAUAUGUUUUAUAGUAGUACCUUUAUGUUCAUUAAUACAGUAUUUGUACCAAGUUUUAUAUAAGAUCACAGCUUGUAUGAUCAAUACUUAUUAUUAUUACAGGAGGGGAAAGAUCAUGUAGAAUAGGCAUAAUUUUCCAUCGUCGUUCCUUGUUGUUGUCAAUCAAUUCAAUCAAUCAAUCAACGUUCAUACAAAGAAUUUUCACGUACUGCAACUAUGCAAAGGGAUUAAUCACUUUAUUCGCCACUUACUUACAAAAAAGUUAGUAACCUUUCUAUAUAACUUCUAUUCCAGCGGGUAUCCACCGCAUAAUCUAUUUGAGCAAAGAACAUUAGAGCUAUGGCGGAGUCACAAGGCGUACCUAAACUGAUGUUGAAUCCAAGGGAAAAACUCACUGGAGCGCUCUUGAUUGGCACCGCAUUUGCAACUUUCGUCGCGACACUUCUGCUCACUGCCAUCUUCGCGUGCAGAUGGGACCACAUCUGCAUUCGGGGUUUUCUGCUCUUGGGUGUGAUCGUGUGGAACAUGUUUAACGUGUUUGUCAGCUUGAAUGCUGUGGGAAGUGAGCCCCGGCUUGCCACCUCAAAGACACUACUCCAGCAGCUCGACGGGAUCUCGUUCUUGGUGACUACAACUUCAACAGUUCAAGUCACUCCAUCUUGGAUUAUCUUCUUUGCAGCGUGCUCGUUUGCAAUCUUUGUGCUUGCCACAGUACCUUUCGGUGUGUACGUUCGCAUGCGCUACGUGGAAAGAAAAGAAGAGGUAACUGUACCAG